AUUGAACGCUGGCGGCAGGCCUAACACAUGCAAGUCGAACGAGAGGCGGACGGGUGAGUAAUGUCUGGGAAACUGCCCGACGGAGGGGGCUAACUACUGGAAACAGUAGCUAAUACCGCAUACCAUCGGAUGUGCCCAGAUGGGAGUAGCUAGUAGGGGGGGUAACGGCGCACCUAGGCGACGCUCCCUAGCUGGUCUGAGAGGAUGAACAGCCACACUGGAACUGAAACACGGUCCAGACUCCUACGGGAGGCAGCAGUGGGGAAUCUUGCACAAUGGGCGCAAGCCUGAUGCAGCAAUGCCGCGUGGAUGAAGAAGGCCUUCGGGUUGUAAAGUACUUUCAGCGAGGAGGCGUUACGCGCAGAAGAAGCACCGGCUAACUCCGUGCCAGCAGCCGCGGUAAUAC
rnacentral:rRNA from 1 species